UACGUAAGGGGCAAGCGUUGUCCGGAAUCACUGGGCGUAAAGCGCACGUAGGCGGUGCAGCAAGUCAGGGGUGCAAGCUCCAGGCCUAACCUGGAAACUGCCUCUGAAACUACUGUGCUUGAGGAUCAGAGGGGAAACUGGAAUUCACGGUGUAGCGGUGAAAUGCGUAGAUAUCGUGGAGAACACCCGUGGCGAAGGCGGGUUUCUGGCUGAUUUCUGACGCUGAGGUGCGAAAGCUAGGGGAGCGAACGGG
rnacentral:rRNA from 1 species